UACGUGAGUGAGAGAGUGAAUAUUAUUGGUUUAAUAGUUAAAUGUUUAUUUUCUUUAAAUUUAAAAUUUUUAGGUGAAAUUUUAAUUUUACUAUAAAAGGACUUUAUUGAAGCUAUGAAAUUUAUAUUAAAAACAA
rnacentral:rRNA from 1 species